CCCGUUUACUGAAUAUUGAGUGACCGUUACCAUUUGACUGAGAAACAUAUAUCCCAUGUUUUCGAAGUCUAGACCUAUGGUUGUUAGCCAAGGCUUCCUGGAUACCCCCAAUAUUAGGUAUUAUUAGCUGCUGGUAAGGAUUGGUAGGACAAAUGAAUUUGGUUUUCCCCUUAUUCUCCACAGGCGGCUUAAUUUCCCUAACGCUGAAGGGUCCCAGGAGUUUUGGUGGAAAAUAUGUUUCAUAAACCGAAACGUUGGGCGAUUAUUGGAUGAUGAUGAUCUGAUUUUCAUGCAUGCGAAUCAAGUGCAGCAUUUUUCGUGGUCCCUUGUUUUGUUUGGCUGUUGAGCCCGAGGAUUACACUGAGAUGCGGGGUGCGGGAUUGAGAUAGUCAUGACCAUUUAUACGUAGAUGUAUGCCAAUUGAUAGCGGAGGUGAGGCAUGGCGUGCUAUCUAUGGGUUUCUGUUCAAUUUUCGAUACUGCAGGCACAGAGCAUGUUCUGUGAAGGUUCGGUUCCCGUGGGAUUGGGUUGAUUGGUAAGAAAUAACUAACUCACGGGUUUGAAACCCGGUCUGUGGCUGAGGGGACGGCAAAUGUGAUGCACGCUCUUCGUUGGCCCGAAAAAUAAUAGGGAGAA
rnacentral:sRNA from 2 species